rnacentral:rRNA from 1 species
UACGUAGGGUGCGAGCGUUGUCCGGAAUUAUUGGGCGUAAAGAGCUCGUAGGCGGUCUGUCGCGUCGGUCGUGAAAACUUGGGGCUUAACCCUGAGCUUGCGGUCGAUACGGGCAUGACUGGAGUUCGGCAGGGGAGACUGGAAUUCCUGGUGUAGCGGUGAAAUGCGCAGAUAUCAGGAGGAACACCAAUAGCGAAGGCAGCUCGCUGGGACGGUAUUGACGCUAAGGCGCGAAAGCGUGGGGAGCAAACAGG